UACGUAGGGGGCAAGCGUUGUCCGGAAUCAUUGGGCGUAAAGCGCGUGUAGGCGGCCAGAAAAGUCCGCUGUGAAAACUCGAGGCUCAACUUCGAGCUGUCGGUGGAAACUUUCUGGCUAGAGUCCGGAAGAGGCGAGUGGAAUUCCCGGUGUAGCGGUGAAAUGCGCAGAUAUCGGGAGGAACACCUAUGGCGAAGGCAGCUCGCUGGGACGUUACUGACGCUGAGACGCGAAAGCGUGGGGAGCAAACAGG
rnacentral:rRNA from 1 species